UACGAAUGGUGCAAGCGUUAAUCGGAAUUACUGGGCGUAAAGCGCGCGUAGGUGGUUCGUUAAGUUGGAUGUGAAAGCCCCGGGCUCAACCUGGGAACUGCAUCCAAAACUGGCGAGCUAGAGUAUGGCAGAGGGUGGUGGAAUUUCCUGUGUAGCGGUGAAAGGCGUAGAUAUAGGAAGGAACACCAGUGGCGAAGGCGACCACAUGGGCUAAUACUGAAACGGAGGUGCGCAAGCGUGGGGAGCACACAGGAGGCGAUAACACCGGAGUCC
rnacentral:rRNA from 1 species